rnacentral:rRNA from 1 species
AUUGAACGCUGGCGGCAUGCCUUACACAUGCAAGUCGAACGGUAACGGGCCUUCGGGUGCCGACGAGUGGCGCACGGGUGCGUAAUACAUCGGAACGUGCCCGAUCGUGGGGGAUAACGAGGCGAAAGCUUUGCUAAUAACGCAUACGAUCUACGGAUGAAAGCAGGGGACCGCAAGGCCUUGCGCGGACGGAGCGGCCGAUGGCAGAUUAGGUAGUUGGUGGGAUAAAAGCUUACCAAGCCGACGAUCUGUAGCUGGUCUGAGAGGAUGAUCAGCCACACUGGGACUGAGACACGGCCCAGACUCCUACGGGAGGCAGCAGUGGGGAAUUUUGGACAAUGGGCGCAAGCCUGAUCCAGCCCUGCCGCGUGAAGGAUGAAGGCCUUCGGGUUUUAAACUGCUUUUGUACGGAACGAAAAGCCUUCUUUUAAUACAGGAGGGUCAUGACGGUACCGUAAGAAUAAGCACCGGCUAACUACGUG